rnacentral:rRNA from 1 species
AGGAAGGUGGGGAUGACGUCAAAUCAGCACGGCCCUUACGUCCAGGGCUACACACGUGCUACAAUAGCCGGUACAAAGGGCAGCUACCUGGUGACAGGAUGCUAAUACUCAAAGCCGGUCUCAGUUCGGAUCGGAGUCUGCAACCCGACUCCGUGAAGACUGGAAUCGCUAGUAAUCGUAGAUCAGCACGCUACGGUGAAUACGUUCCCGGGCCUU